GUAUUUUCCUUUGCCAUGGGGAAGUACUCCCUUAAAAUCACCAAUAUAGACAUCUCCAUUUGAUAAGACCUUCUUAUCAUCCCUAGCAAGAUAAAAAGUACACUUGAACUGAUAAAAUCAUAGGAAUGGUAGAAAAAUAAGAAAGAUUUGCUGACAAGAAUAGCACCUCUCAGAAUCUUCCAUGUUUAGUAAUUGCUGUAAGACCACCAUUUGCAGUUUUGGCUCUGAAAACUGAAGCAAACAAGGAAUUCAAUCCAUCCUCCAAGGAAGUGAGCUCAAAGAAGCAGAUAACCCCUCUUUUUCAUGAACCCAGAUUCAAGAAAAUAACAAAAGCCCCCCAGAAAUUUAAGGCGAAAGAAAGAGCAACAAGAACAAGGGGAGGAAAGAAGAUAAAAGAGUUGGUGAAAAAGUCUAUAUCUUGUCCACUUCUGAAAAUUCCUGCCCCUGCAGAUCCUCUGCUGGAAUUGACACUUCACCUCUAUUUCUCUUUCUGCACAGGAACACUUUCCCCUUCUCUCUCUCUCCAAAAACAAAAAGAGAAAAAUAAAAAUUCCUUGUUUUCCUUUUUCUUCUGCAAAAUCUCUCAAGUGUUAGUUGCCCAUGCAUGAAGUUCCCUU
rnacentral:misc_RNA from 1 species